rnacentral:rRNA from 1 species
GACGAACGCUGGCAGCGUGCCUAGUACAUGCAAGUCGAGCGGACCACUUCGGUGGUCAGCGGCGGACGGGUGAGUAACACGUGGGCAACCUGCCUGUAAGACUGGGAUAACACCGGGAAACCGGUGCUAAUACCGGAUAAUCCUUUCCUUCACAUGAGGGAAAGCUGUAAGACGGUUUCGGCUGUCACUUACAGAUGGGCCCGCGGCGCAUUAGCUAGUUGGUGAGGUAACGGCUCACCAAGGCAACGAUGCGUAGCCGACCUGAGAGGGUGAUCGGCACCACUGGGACUGGGACACGGCCCAGACUCCUACGGGAGGCAGCAGUAGGGAAUCUUCCGCAAUGGACGAAAGUCUGACGGAGCAACGCCGCGUGAGCGAUGAAGGCCUUCGGGUCGUAAAGCUCUGUUGUCAGGGAAGAACAAGUACCGGAGUAACUGCCGGUACCUUGACGGUACCUGACCAGAAAGCCACGGCUAACUACGUGCCAGCCGCCGCCGUAAUAC